rnacentral:rRNA from 1 species
GACGAACGCUGGCGGCGUGCUUAACACAUGCAAGUCGAACGGUAAGGCCCUUCGGGGUACACGAGUGGCGAACGGGUGAGUAACACGUGGGUGAUCUGCCCUGCACUUCGGGAUAAGCCUGGGAAACUGGGUCUAAUACCGGAUAGGACCACUGCCUGCAUGGGUGGUGGUGGAAAGCUUUUGCGGUGUGGGAUGGGCCCGCGGCCUAUCAGCUUGUUGGUGGGGUGAUGGCCUACCAAGGCGACGACGGGUAGCCGGCCUGAGGGGGUGACCGGCCACACUGGGACUGAGAUACGGCCCAGACUCCUACGGGAGGCAGCAGUGGGGAAUAUUGCGCAAUGGGCGCAAGCCUGAUGCAGCGACGCCGCGUGAGGGAUGACGGCCUUCGGGUUGUAAACCUCUUUCAGCACCGACGAAGCGCAAGUGACGGUAGGUGCAGAAGAAGGACCGGCCAACUACGUGCCAGCCGCCGCAGUAA